UUAUAUAUCUUGCAAAUGAUAAGCAAAUGAUAAGAUUGAAAUAUAUUAUAACUCGAAUUGUCUUUCGAUUAAUUUUUUGUUUCGAUCUCGACACGGACGAUCGUGCGGGUAAUGACGCGGAAACGACGCUUCCUGAAUCAUUGGAUGGGAAAGAGCGGAUUCGUUCUGGUUUUGUUUCGAUAAUGGAGGAAAAUUGACCAUCGAUAAGCAAAAUAUCUGGAGAAAGUCGCGACGCGUGGGUCGACUUCACGCAAAAUGUAAAUAACCGUGGACGAUAUAUUGGCAGUAAAAGAAACUCACUGUCCACCGUGGUGUCCCGCUGAGGCCAAAUUGAGCAAAGAGGCAACCACAAAGACGGCCUGGAAGAAAAGAAAAAAAAAAAAAAA